rnacentral:rRNA from 1 species
UACGGAGGUGGCAAGCGUUGUUCGGAAUCACUGGGCGUAAAGGGCGCGUAGGCGGGGAGGCAAGUCGGGUGUGAAAUCCCUCGGCUCAACCGAGGAACUGCGCCCGAAACUGCCCCUCUUGAGUCCCGGAGAGGAAGGUGGAAUUCCCGGUGUAGCGGUGAAAUGUGUAGAGAUCGGGAGGAACACCUGUGGCGAAGGCGGCCUUCUGGACGGUGACUGACGCUGAGGCGCGAAAGCGUGGGGAGCAAACGGG